rnacentral:rRNA from 1 species
CCUACGGGUGGCAGCAGUGAGGAAUAUUGGUCAAUGGGCGGGAGCCUGAACCAGCCAAGUCGCGUGAGGGAGUACUGCCCUAUGGGUUGUAAACCUCUUUUGUCGGGGAGCAAAAGCCGGACGUGUCCGGCUGUGAGAGUACCCGAAGAAAAAGCAUCGGCUAACUCCGUGCCAGCAGCCGCGGUAAUACGGAGGAUGCGCGCGUUAUCCGGAUUUAUUGGGUUUAAAGGGUGCGCAGGCGGAUUUUUAAGUCAGCGGUAAAAUCGUGGGGCUGAACCCCAUCAAGCCGUUGAAACUGGGGAUCUAGAGUGUGCGAGAGGUAGGCGGAAUGCGUGGUGUAGCGGUGAAAUGCAUAGAUAUCACGCAGAACCCCGAUUGCGAAGGCAGCAUACCGGUGCACAACUGACGCUCAGGCACGAAAGCGUGGGUAUCGAACAGGAUUAGAUACCCGAGUAGUC